AACGAACGCUGGCGGCAUGCCUAACACAUGCAAGUCGAACGAGGCCUUCGGGUCUAGUGGCGCACGGGUGCGUAACGCGUGGGAAUCUACCCUCAGGUUCGGAAUAACUCAGAGAAAUUUGAGCUAAUACCGGAUGAUGACGUAAGUCCAAAGAUUUAUCGCCUGAGGAUGAGCCCGCUUAGGAUUAGGUAGUUGGUGAGGUAAAGGCUUACCAAGCCGACGAUCCUUAGCUGGUCUGAGAGGAUGAUCAGCCACACUGGGACUGAGACACGGCCCAGACUCCUACGGGAGGCAGCAGUGGGGAAUAUUGGACAAUGGGCGAAAGCCUGAUCCAGCAAUGCCGCGUGAGUGAUGAAGGCCUUAGGGUUGUAAAGCUCUUUUACCCGGGAUGAUAAUGACAGUACCGGGAGAAUAAGCUCCGGCUAACUCCGUG
rnacentral:rRNA from 1 species